CACCAGAAAAAGCUUUUGCAUCAUCUCCAGAGCCAGGAGCUGCUGCCUCACACCGGAGCACUCUGGAUCUGUCUCCCAGAAAUUCAGUGUCUGCCCAGCAACAUCCUGCCCUGAAGGAGAGAAGUUCCCAGCCCCUGCCAAGGAUCAACAUCAAGAACAUGUCCCACAGAGACAAGGCCACACAGCAGCUUCCAUGUGUCAGCAUUCCCACCAAGUCCUUCCAACAGGCAGCCCAAAUUCAGCUCCUCACACACAUAGAGUUACGGAGAAAUUGCUGUCUAACAGAUCCUUUGUGGACUUCCGACCAAAACCAUCCAGUGCAACAAAUGAACACAGGACAGUCAGAAGGGAAGGGGUAGCCAGCUGACCAAAUCCCAGGCUCAUCCAGGCACCAUCUCCCACAGCAUCAUUCAGGAACUGAGGUACGGAUUUAUUUCCUGCGCACAGACAUGGUGGAUGUAGCUUUGAACUAUUCUGACUCCACUUGCUGUGGAUGGGUCCCCAGCCCCUAAAGAAGUGGGGAUUUCGCGAGAUUAGUGCUCACUGAUUAGAUGUGACUUGGAUGAGUUUACACAGCGCACGGGGGUAGCAUUUUCAAAGGUGGCUGCACACUCCUUUGGCUCUUCCCUGAGGUUUAACUUUUCCUCCGGGUCCAUCCCGCG
rnacentral:lncRNA from 1 species